rnacentral:rRNA from 1 species
CCUACGGGUGGCAGCAGUGAGGAAUAUUGGUCAAUGGGCGCGAGCCUGAACCAGCCAAGUCGCGUGAGGGAGGACGGCCCUACGGGUUGUAAACCUCUUUUGCCGGGGAGCAACGGGCGCCACGUGUGGCGUCCCUGAGAGUACCCGGAGAAAAAGCAUCGGCUAACUCCGUGCCAGCAGCCGCGGUAAUACGGAGGAUGCGAGCGUUAGACGGAUGUAUUGGGUUUACAGGGUGCAUAGGCGGAUCGGUAAGUCAGUGGUCAAAUUGAGGGGCUCAACCCCUUCCCGCCAUUGAAACUGGCGUUCUUGAGUGGAAGAGAAGUAUGCGGAAUGCGUGGUGUAGCGGUGAAAUGCAUAGCUAGCACGCAGAACCCCGAUUGCGAAGGCAGCAUGCCGGCUUCCGACUGACGCUGAAGCACGAAAGCGUGGGGAUCGAACAGGAUUAGAUACCCGAGUAGUC